UAGCAAACUUCUUCACAAACACGUUUUAAGAGGCUGAAAAGUUUACCGUCACAUUUGAGCUGGAUUUAGAGGAGGAUAAUUAUGAUUCCAAAAAGGUGGAGAAUUCUAGUCCCUGGUGUCCCACCUCCGUCAGUUCCUGGACCUGCACAAGAAAUACAACUGCAGACUUCACUUUCAGAAGGGAAGUGUACGGAGUGUGGAGUUCUUCAUGUUGGACAAAGAGCCGGCUCCAGAGCUGACCGCUGCCACAGUGGAGAGCAGUAUCCUGCCUCGUGAUGAGCUUCUUCAGUAUAUCAAGGUAAAACAACACCACUGCUGGAACAUUAACCCUUGUGCCUUCCUCAAAUGUAUUUAUAUUUUCCGUUGUGAAUUUAAACACACUUCUGACUUGCUCAGAACUACCAAACAUUAAAUUAUUUUCAGGAUUGUAACCCUUUAAAAGCAAGGUUAUUAGCUGAAUGAUGAUUAGAGUCUUGGAUCUGUGAAAGACAGCAACAAAGUUGAUUUGAUUGCAUUAGUCUUUUUAUG